GAACUGUUCAUCUCUUGGGAACACCCUGACGCCCCCAUCUCUGUACCCACAGGAGUGAUUGGUCUAUUCACCAUCCCCCUGCUGUACCGGCAGCACCAGGCUCAGAUCGACCAAUAUGUGGGGUUGGUGACCAAUCAGUUGAGCCACAUCAAAGCUAAGAUCCGAGCUAAAAUCCCAGGGACCGGAGCCCUGGCCUCUGCAGCAGCCGCAGUCUCCGGAUCCAAAGCCAAAGCCGAAUGAGAACGGUGUCUCUGCCCGCAGGACGCCUGCCCCCAGCCCCCGCAGCCCUCUGGCCCCCU
rnacentral:lncRNA from 1 species